AAUUUUGGACAAUGGGGGAAACCCUGAUCCAGCCAUCCCGCGUUCAUGCUUAAGGCCUUAGGGUUGUAAAGUACUUUUGGCAGAGAAGAAAAGGUAUCCCCUAAUACCGAAUACUGCUGACGGGCACUGCAGUAGAAGCACCGGACAACCACGUGCCCGCCGCAGCUGUAAGACGUAGGGUGCAAGCGUUAAUCGGAAUUACUGGGCGUAAAGCGUGUGUAGGCGGUUCGGAAAGAAAGAUGUGAAAUCCCAGGGCUCAACCUUGGAACUGCAUUUUUAACUGCCGAGCUAGAGUAUGUCAGAGGGGGGUAGAAUACCACGUGUAGCAGUGAAAUGCGUAGAUAUGUGGAGGAAUACCGAUGGCGAAGGCAGCCCCCUGGGAUAAUACUGACGCUCAGACACGAAAGCGUGGGGAGCAAACAGG
rnacentral:rRNA from 1 species